AUCUCUUUAUUAUCCCCCUUCUCGAUUUCUCUCAGUGAAUUCUCCUGUUGGGCUCUGCGAAUAGUUUAUCCAUCUUUAUUUGAAUCUGCUGCGAGCUCUCUAAUUUAGUUAGUUAUUUGUAUAAUUUUCUUUGUUUUUGCACUUCUUCUAUUGCUAAACCAAAUUUUGUUUGGUGAAUGUCCGCUUUCUUCUGUUUUGCAUAAUACUUUCUAAACUUUUUACAUACAUGCCAGUAAUUGUCCGUUAGAAGAUUGGGACUCUUGAUUUACGCUAUUUUUUUUCUGCAGAUUAACCUAUCUAAAGAUACAAUUCUGAAAUGGGAGACGAACAAGGAGAGAGGGAGGAUGGGCUGAUCUGUGGUUACUGCCAAUAUACGCCUGAUUCCCCGUUAGGAGACUUGUGCUUUUUGACACUCAAGAUUAGGACACAAGCACAACAUGCUUGAAAAGGAAAUGGUAGCCUUCGGAGAAGGUAUAGGAGUUGCAAGCUGAGAAGGUUAGGAAACCCUCGCAGAAGACAAAUCCAUCGAGUAAACAUCAAAACUGAAAGAAUACCUCUAAACGGAUGGAAAUUAAUAAGUUCUUAUCCAGAACAUCUUAAACUUUUUGUUCCCUUUUUGUUGUUAAAAGCCCUCCUGUGAUAGUUUUUCCUAUUUUAAUAUUUGAGACAUCACUCAAAGCUUUAUUUGUGGCCAUUAGAGUACCACCUUUAAUUCAGGAAUGACGAUGAGCAUUUCUUGAGAUGUUCCUAUAAACUCGAGUUCUAAUGGAUAUAGUUUUUAGUUA